rnacentral:rRNA from 1 species
GGGUUGUGAGGUUAAGCGACUAAGCGUACACGGUGGAUGCCCUGGCAGUCAGAGGCGAUGAAGGACGUGCUAAUCUGCGAUAAGCGUCGGUGAGGUGAUAUGAACCGUUAUAACCGGCGAUUUCCGAAUGGGGAAACCCAGUGUGUUUCGACACACUAUCAUUAACUGAAUCCAUAGGUUAAUGAGGCGAACCGGGGGAACUGAAACAUCUAAGUACCCCGAGGAAAAGAAAUCAACCGAGAUUCCCCCAGUAGCGGCGAGCGAACGGGGAGGAGCCCAGAGCCUGAAUCAGUGUGUGUGUUAGUGGAAGCGUCUGGAAAGGCGUGCGAUACAGGGUGACAGCCCCGUACACAAAAAUGCACAUAUUGUGAGCUCGAUGAGUAGGGCGGGACACGUGGUAUCCUGUCUGAAUAUGGGGGGACCAUCCUCCAAGGCUAAAUACUCCUGACUGACCGAUAGUGAACCAGUACCGUGAGGGAAAGGCGAAAAGAACCCCGGCGAGGGGAGUGAAAAAGAACCUGAAACCGUGUACGUACAAGCAGUGGGAGCCUCUUAAUGGGGUGACUGCGUACCUUUUGUAUAAUGGGUCAGCGACUUAUAUUCUGUAGCAAGGUUAACCGAAUAGGGGAGCCGAAGGGAAACCGAGUCUUAACUGGGCGUUAAGUUGCAGGGUAUAGACCCGAAACCCGGUGAUCUAGCCAUGGGCAGGUUGAAGGUUGGGUAACACUAACUGGAGGACCGAACCGACUAAUGUUGAAAAAUUAGCGGAUGACUUGUGGCUGGGGGUGAAAGGCCAAUCAAACCGGGAGAUAGCUGGUUCUCCCCGAAAGCUAUUUAGGUAGCGCCUCGUGAAUUCAUCUCCGGGGGUAGAGCACUGUUUCGGCAAGGGGGUCAUCCCGACUUACCAACCCGAUGCAAACUGCGAAUACCGGAGAAUGUUAUCACGGGAGACACACGGCGGGUGCUAACGUCCGUCGUGAAGAGGGAAACAACCCAGACCGCCAGCUAAGGUCCCAAAGUCAUGGUUAAGUGGGAAACGAUGUGGGAAGGCCCAGACAGCCAGGAUGUUGGCUUAGAAGCAGCCAUCAUUUAAAGAAAGCGUAAUAGCUCACUGGUCGAGUCGGCCUGCGCGGAAGAUGUAACGGGGCUAAACCAUGCACCGAAGCUGCGGCAGCGACGCUUAUGCGUUGUUGGGUAGGGGAGCGUUCUGUAAGCCUGUGAAGGUGUGCUGUGAGGCAUGCUGGAGGUAUCAGAAGUGCGAAUGCUGACAUAAGUAACGAUAAAGCGGGUGAAAAGCCCGCUCGCCGGAAGACCAAGGGUUCCUGUCCAACGUUAAUCGGGGCAGGGUGAGUCGACCCCUAAGGCGAGGCCGAAAGGCGUAGUCGAUGGGAAACAGGUUAAUAUUCCUGUACUUGGUGUUACUGCGAAGGGGGGACGGAGAAGGCUAUGUUGGCCGGGCGACGGUUGUCCCGGUUUAAGCGUGUAGGCUGGUUUUCCAGGCAAAUCCGGAAAACCAAGGCUGAGGCGUGAUGACGAGGCACUACGGUGCUGAAGCGACAAAUGCCCUGCUUCCAGGAAAAGCCUCUAAGCAUCAGGUAACAUCAAAUCGUACCCCAAACCGACACAGGUGGUCAGGUAGAGAAUACCAAGGCGCUUGAGAGAACUCGGGUGAAGGAACUAGGCAAAAUGGUGCCGUAACUUCGGGAGAAGGCACGCUGAUAUGUAGGUGAAGCGACUUGCUCGUGGAGCUGAAAUCAGUCGAAGAUACCAGCUGGCUGCAACUGUUUAUUAAAAACACAGCACUGUGCAAACACGAAAGUGGACGUAUACGGUGUGACGCCUGCCCGGUGCCGGAAGGUUAAUUGAUGGGGUUAGCGGCAACGCGAAGCUCUUGAUCGAAGCCCCGGUAAACGGCGGCCGUAACUAUAACGGUCCUAAGGUAGCGAAAUUCCUUGUCGGGUAAGUUCCGACCUGCACGAAUGGCGUAAUGAUGGCCAGGCUGUCUCCACCCGAGACUCAGUGAAAUUGAACUCGCUGUGAAGAUGCAGUGUACCCGCGGCAAGACGGAAAGACCCCGUGAACCUUUACUAUAGCUUGACACUGAACAUUGAGCCUUGAUGUGUAGGAUAGGUGGGAGGCUUUGAAGUGUGGACGCCAGUCUGCAUGGAGCCGACCUUGAAAUACCACCCUUUAAUGUUUGAUGUUCUAACGUGGGCCCCUAAUCGGGGUUGCGGACAGUGUCUGGUGGGUAGUUUGACUGGGGCGGUCUCCUCCUAAAGAGUAACGGAGGAGCACGAAGGUUGGCUAAUCCUGGUCGGACAUCAGGAGGUUAGUGCAAUGGCAUAAGCCAGCUUGACUGCGAGCGUGACGGCGCGAGCAGGUGCGAAAGCAGGUCAUAGUGAUCCGGUGGUUCUGAAUGGAAGGGCCAUCGCUCAACGGAUAAAAGGUACUCCGGGGAUAACAGGCUGAUACCGCCCAAGAGUUCAUAUCGACGGCGGUGUUUGGCACCUCGAUGUCGGCUCAUCACAUCCUGGGGCUGAAGUAGGUCCCAAGGGUAUGGCUGUUCGCCAUUUAAAGUGGUACGCGAGCUGGGUUUAGAACGUCGUGAGACAGUUCGGUCCCUAUCUGCCGUGGGCGCUGGAGAACUGAGGGGGGCUGCUCCUAGUACGAGAGGACCGGAGUGGACGCAUCACUGGUGUUCGGGUUGUCAUGCCAAUGGCACUGCCCGGUAGCUAAAUGCGGAAGAGAUAAGUGCUGAAAGCAUCUAAGCACGAAACUUGCCCCGAGAUGAGUUCUCCCUGAGACUUAGAGUCUCCUGAAGGAACGUUGAAGACGACGACGUUGAUAGGCCGGGUGUGUAAGCGCAGCGAUGCGUUGAGCUAACCGGUACUAAUGAACCGUGAGGCUUAACCUUACAACGCCGAAG